GGUUAAGCGACUAAGCGUACACGGUGGAUGCCCUGGCAGUCAGAGGCGAUGAAGGACGUGCUAAUCUGCGAAAAGCGUCGGUAAGGUGAUAUGAACCGUUACAGCCGGCGAUGUCCGAAUGGGGAAACCCAGUGUGAUUCGUCACACUAUCGUUAACUGAAUACAUAGGUUAACGAGGCGAACCGGGGGAACUGAAACAUCUAAGUACCCCGAGGAAAAGAAAUCAACCGAGAUUCCCCCAGUAGCGGCGAGCGAACGGGGAGCAGCCCAGAGUCUGAAUCAGCUUGUGUGUUAGUGGAACGGUCUGGAAAGUCCGACGGUACAGGGUGAUAGUCCCGUACACCAAAAUGCACAGGUUGUGAACUCGAAGAGUAGGGCGGGACACGUGGUAUCCUGUCUGAAUAUGGGGGGACCAUCCUCCAAGGCUAAAUACUCCUGACUGACCGAUAGUGAACCAGUACCGUGAGGGAAAGGCGAAAAGAAC
rnacentral:rRNA from 1 species